GAUGAACGCUGGCGGCGUGCCUAAUACAUGCAAGUCGAGCGAACAGAUGAGGAGCUUGCUCCUCUGACGUUAGCGGCGGACGGGUGAGUAACACGUGGAUAACCUACCUAUAAGACUGGGAUAACUUCGGGAAACCGGAGCUAAUACCGGAUAAUAUAUUGAACCGCAUGGUUCUAUAGUGAAAGACGGUUUUGCUGUCACUUAUAGAUGGAUCCGCGCCGCAUUAGCUAGUUGGUAAGGUAACGGCUUACCAAGGCAACGAUGCGUAGCCGACCUGAGAGGGUGAUCGGCCACACUGGAACUGAGACACGGUCCAGACUCCUACGGGAGGCAGCAGUAGGGAAUCUUCCGCAAUGGGCGAAAGCCUGACGGAGCAACGCCGCGUGAGUGAUGAAGGUCUUCGGAUCGUAAAGCUCUGUUAUUAGGGAAGAACAAAUGUGUAAGUAACUAUGCACGUCUUGACGGUACCUAAUCAGAAAGCCACGGCUAACUACGUG
rnacentral:rRNA from 1 species